GAUCCUCCUGCCUCAGCUUCCUACAUAGCUAGGACUACAGGCAUGCACUACCAUGCCCAGCUAAGUUUAUAUGUGUGUGUGUGUGUGUGUGUGUGUGUGUGUGUGUGUGUGUAUUAUUUAUUUAUUUAUUUUUAGUAGGUGGAGUCUCGCUCUGUCACCGAGCCUGGAAUGCAGUGGUGAGAGCUCACUGCAGCCUCUGCCUCCCAGGUUCCGGUGAUCCUCCUGCCUCAGCCUCCUGAGUAGCUGGGACUAUGGGUGCGCACCACCACCAUGCCUGGCUCUUUUUUUUUCUGGAGACAGAGUUUUGCUCUUGUUGACCAGGCUGGAGUGCAGUGGCGCUAUCUCGGCUCACCACAACCUCUGUCUCCCAGGUUCAAGUGGUUCUCCUGCCUUAGUCUCCCGAGUAGCUAGGAUUACAGGCAUGCGCCACCAUGCCUGGCUAAUUUUGUGUUUUUGGUGGAGACGGUUUCCCUGUGUUGGUCAGGCUGGUCUCGAACUUCCGACUUCAGGUGAUCCGCCCACCUUGGCCUCCCAAAGUGUUGGGAUUACAGGCGUGAGCCACCGUGCCCAGCCUUUUUUUGUAUUUUUAUAUUUGGUUAAUUUCUUUCUACCCCAUAGAAUAAAACUGACAUAAAACAUAACAAAAAGAAAAAAGCAUAGGCCAGGCAUGGUGGCUUAUGCCUGUAAUUCUAGCACUUUGAGAGGCUGAGGUGGGCGGAUCACUUGAGGUCAGGAGUUCAAGACCAGCCUGGCCAAUAUGGCAAAGCCUUCUCUCUAUACUAAAAAUACAAAAAAAGGCGGAGGUUGCAGUGAGCUAAGAUUGCGCCAUGGCACUCCAGCCUGAGCAACAGCACAAGACUCUGUCUUAAAAAAAAAAAUGUAUUUAUCUGGAAGACAAAUGUCAAAUCUUAAUAGUGGUUAUCCCUGGAUUAGAGCAUUUUGGUGUGUUGCUUUCCUGGUAGAAUAUUGUUUUAAUGAAAAUGGAUCAAAGGAGGACAUAGAUGGGUGAAAACCAUGAGGAAUUGACUUUGACAUUCUUAAUUGCAUCAGCAGAAAUAGUUAAAAAGUACUUCUAAAACCACUUGCAUGAACUAGGUGUUUAAGGGGAACCGCUCACGCUUAUUCUCAGAUACAUUAAUAAAAGGACACUUGAAGUCUAUGAAGAAGAUAGCUGUUCCAGCCUUACCGCACAUUUUCUUCCUGAGUGAAAAUAGGAACUUAUGUAUUGGUGGCCAUCUUGACAUGAAACUACAAGAUCCUUCCCAACAGUAUCAUCCUACACUGAAACCUGGAACCAAAUCCAUUCCCAUUCAGCAAAUGUUGAUCAAGUGGCAUGUAGGGGAUACAGAGAUGAUUGCAUACAAAGAUGAAAAAGAAAACGUUUCUGCCAGGGCCAGGCGCGGUGACUCACACCUACAAUUCCAGCACUUUGGGAGGCCAAGGCAGGUAGAAUUGCUUGAGUUUGAGUUCGAGACCAGCCUGGGCAACAUAGUUGACCUUAUCUCUACUUAAAUAAAAAUAAUCAGCCAGGCAUGGUGGCAUGUGACUGUAGUUCCAGCUACUUUGGGAAGCUGAGGUGCCAUUGCACUCCAGCCUGGUCAGCAAGAGCAAAAAAAAAAAAAAAAAAAAUGUGCACAUCAAAGAUCAUAGCCCCGGCACAUCGAAGCUGCAAUGAGCUAUGAUUGCAUCACUGCACUCCAGCCUGGGUGACAGAAUGAGACCCCGUUGCAAAAAAAAAAAAAAAAGUUUGCCAGUAUCAGACGUGAAAAAUAAACUUAAGAUACUUGAAGAUGACAAGUAAAUCAUCUUCCCAUUUUACAGAUUUUAUGGAAAGAACUCUUCUUAUGUCCAUGGGGGAUUGGAUUCAAAUGGAAAGCCAGCAGAUGCAGUCUACGGACAGAAAGUAAGCAUUUCAAGCCUUAUUUAGGCUGUUAAGCAGGUAGAAAAUAACUCAUAAAAUUGAAGUGGAUCAUACUUAAUAGAUUUGCUGAUAAAGAUCCAGUUUCUCAACUUUUUAGUAAAAGUUGAUGUGUUUUAUUACUAUUUGAUUAAUAUAUUUGUUGAAAUACUUAUGUGAUGUCAGAUUUGUUAAUUUUGUAUGAUAUAUUCUAAAGCUUUUGUGUGUUGGAAGAUAAUUGGCUUUAGCAUGGGGAUCAUCUUUUCUAAACUUUGAAAAGUGUGUUAAUUCAGGACAGUUAUUUAAAAAACUCAAGCGCGGUCACUGGGAAUAGAGUAUACAAAGAAACAUCAAAAUUCAGUCUGCAUAUCCUGUAAUUUAAAUAUACACAUUCUCUUUGUGUUGUGUUGGAAGGUUUUUUUUAGUUGGAGGUUAUUUAAAUUUUAAGGCAUUCUCAGUUGAUUAUUAUUAUUAUUAUUAUUUUUUUAAGGAAAUCCACAGGAAAGUGAUGUCACAAAACUUCACCAACUGCCACACCAAGAUUCGCCAUGUUGAUGCUCAUGCCACGCUAAAUGAUGGUGUGGUAGUCCAGGUGAUGGGGCUUCUCUCUAACAACAACCAGGCUUUGAGGAGAUUCAUGCAAACGUUUGUCCUUGCUCCUGAGGUAUGUGUAGGAAUGAUUAUUUUGUAGUGAUCCAAUACAUGAAAAAAGAAACAAUGAACUGUUGUGCAUAUCUUUAAAAACACUUGAAAUUUCAGACUUACAGAAAACUUGGAAUAAUAGUACACUAACUCCUAUAUACUCCUUACCUAGAGCAGCUGUCACCACUUGCCCACAUGUGUAUAAUUCUUUCUCUAAAAUAGUUUAGUGGGCAUUUCCUAAGAAUAAUUCUCUUCCAUUCUGUAGUACAGUUAUCAAAUUCAGGAAAUGUUGAUGCAAUAUAAUCUAUAAUCCAUUUUUAAAAUUUGGAAAUUAUCUCAAUAAUGUCUUAACAGUAAUUUUUUUUCCUUGUCCAACAUGGAAUCUAUAAUUACACAUUGCAUUUAGCUAUCAUGUCUCUAGUCUCUUCUAAUCUGCACUUGUUCCUUAAUCUUUUGUUUUUUUUUAUUGCAUUGACAUUUUUGAAGAGCACACUUUUUUUGUAGGAUGCUUUAUGG
rnacentral:lncRNA from 1 species